ACUUGCUUGGGAAAUUCCAAUAUUUUCUAAAUCUUGAAAUGUCAUAGUUAUCUUUCGAAUGAUUGAUUAUAGUAACGGUAUUGAGUGACUCAUAAAGUAACGGUUAAUGGAUAUAAAUACUCAUGCUCAUACUCGUGAAUAGUUAUCAAAGCUUUACAGUAAAUCGAAAAACAAGUUUAGCUAUGAAACUCUAUCUGCUAACAAUUUUUGCCGUGUUGGUCCUUCUGAUCCUUCCACCGCCCGCAAAUGCGCAAGAAGAAGGGGAGAGUACCAGCGAGGAACCACCACCGUCAAAUUCUACAAUUCCUCCAGGCCCUCCUGGUCCUCCAGGCCCUCCAGGUCCGCCAGGCCCUCCAGGUCCUCCAGGCCCUCCAAGUCCUCCAGGCCCUCCAGGUCCCCCGAGCCCUCCAGGUCCUCUAGGCCCUCCAGGUCCCCCCGGCUUUCCAGGUUCUCAAGGCCCUCCAAGAGCUCCAGGCCCUCGACCAGGCGCUUAGUUCUUAUGCCCAACAGCUAGACCACCCACAUUUGAUGAAAACGAAAAUGAAGCACAAAUACCAAUAUCUCGCAGCUCCUUGUUCCCACUUUCUUCUGUUGACUCUGACGAUGUUAGCCCACGUGUGCAGGAUGGAGAUGUCAAGGCGCCAAUUGUAAGAGAGCCACGUGGUGCUUUCUUUGAUUCUUAAGUCAACUGGAAACCAAAUUCUACUUUGUUUAACAGUUUAUUGUAAUUGGUUUAUUUUUUUUCGUAAAAAUAUUAUAAAUAUUAUUGUUAAUCAGAAAAAGCAAAUAAAAUAAAUGUAAUAAGCAUAACAUA